UACGUAGGAGGCUAGCGUUGUUCGGAAUUACUGGGCGUAAAGCGCACGUAGGCGGACCAGCAAGUUAGGGGUGAAAUCCCGGGGCUCAACCCCGGAACUGCCUUUAAAACUGUUGGUCUGGAGGUCGAGAGAGGUGAGUGGAAUUCCGAGUGUAGAGGUGAAAUUCGUAGAUAUUCGGAGGAACACCAGUGGCGAAGGCGGCUCACUGGCUCGAUACUGACGCUGAGGUGCGAAAGCGUGGGGAGCAAACAGG
rnacentral:rRNA from 1 species